CAGCAGCCUGUGACACUCCCCUUCCUCUUUCCUCGCCUGCUUCGGGUCUUGCCAAGCCCGGCUGGACACCGCAGCUCUGUCAACUCGGCCCUUCACGAGAGCCCCUAAUGCGCAGCUGCAUACUCUUCAAACAGGAAGGCACAAGGAAAGGUAACACUGGUUUCUCUGUCGCCCCUUCUCGCCUCUCCGUGUGUUUGUGUGUGCCUUCACGUAUCCGAGGAGCGGGGUGUGCAUGGCUGUGAUGGAACGCAACCGUUGAGAGCGCAGCGCACGUGCCCCCCUCCCUCCCAUUCGAUUAGACUCAUACACAAGAAGAAAAAGAGAACAAGGAAGCGGCAAGCCGUCGUGUAACACAUCUUUUAGAGAGGCGAUCACACUCGCCACAAGCGGUACGCAGCUGGCGCGUGGCUACCUCGUUCAAGGGUUGCGCGGAAGUGCAUAGACACCAUCUAUGUGUAUACCAGAAACAAGCGGGUAGAGAGUAGAGAGAGGGCGGUACUUCACUGGAAGGGAAGGCGAAGGGGCGCUUGGCGACAAGACCGAGUCGACUCGCUGCACCGCCCUCCUCCCUCUCCUCCUCUCUUCUCUUCGCUCGUUCCGGUGCGGCUUCCGACGACACGUUGCUUUACACACAUACACGCGCAAACACACACACGCACACACACAGACACAGACACGCAUCCUUGGUUUACCUUUCGUUUUCUUUUUGUUCUAUCAGCAUCGGUUGUGUGAUGACUUCGAAGCAGACGGCGAGCUCGAUCGAGGUGGCCGUCCGUGUCCGCCCCAUCCGUGGAGAGAUUCGCGAGUCGAGGACUGCCUGGCAUGUCGACGCGACAUCCCUCACGGAGAUCGCCCAGCCGGAUUGCGCCUUUACUUUUGACCGUGUCUACGAUAUCGCCGCGACGACGGCAGAGGUGUACGAGCGGAAUGUGCGUGGCAACAUCGUGGCGCGAGUGGCGCAAGGGUAUAACGGUACUGUGUUCGCCUACGGCCAGACUGGGAGCGGCAAGUCGUACACCAUGUUCGGCGACACCGCGAACCGUUCGCCUGGGCUUAUCCGCCUUGCCGUCCACGACCUCUUUGAGGCGCUCGGUGCGGAGCAGCAACAGAAGCCCUACAUGCACACGGAAGUGUUUGUCUCUGUGCUGGAGAUCUACAACGAGCAGCUGCGCGACCUACUCCGAGGCGGUGACGCCGGUGGGGGCGGUGCCAACGGUGCACCAUCCGCCACCUCUGCUCGCGGAUGGGCGUCUGCGUCGUCGCCAUCGACCACAGCGCCUCUCUCGGCAUCGCCGCCGGUGCUCAGCAUUCGCGAGAAUGCGUACGGCGUGUACGUGCACAACGCCCUUCGCAUGCAGGUCGUGUCGGAGCAGGAAUGCAUCAGCAUCAUCUACGCCCACGCGGCGUCGCGGGUGUCGGCUGCGACGGCGAUGAACGAGCACUCCAGCCGCUCCCAUUGUGUGAUACGCGUCUCGGUGGAGCGCUCGCACUACAUCGAGGACGCUCUCUCCGAGGCUGACGGGGAAGAAGACGAGGAUGAGGACCUCUCUACGCAAGAGGAAGACGACGGGGAUGACGGACGCGCCUCGUCCACGCAGACGGGUCUGAGCGGCACGAGCCACGCGGGCCGUAGAGCGGCACGCUGUGCCGGAACAACCGCAAGGGCGAAGGCUGCGAAGCACAAGAAGAAGGUCAUCUCAACGCUGAACAUGGUCGACCUGGCGGGCUCGGAGCGGGUGGCGAAGACGGGUGCGACGGGACUGCGUAUGAUCGAGGGUGGCCACAUCAACAAAUCUCUCACAACCCUGGCCACCGUCAUCGACCGCCUGGCAAGCGAGGCAAGUCAUCCGCACACCGGCGGUGUUGCAUCCUUCAUCCCCUACCGGGAUUCGCGGCUCACCCAUUUGCUGAAGACCGCCAUCGGAGGUAACUCGUUCACGGUCGUGCUGUGCUGUAUCACCCCCGCCAUCGAGAGCGCCGACGAGUCGCGCAGCACCCUGCAAUUCGCCUCUCGCGCCAAGCGCAUCAAGAACAAGGUAUGUGUGAACGAGGUGGCCAACGCGCACACGCGCAUGCGAGAGCUCGAGGCGGCACUGCGGCACACGCGGAAGCUCCUCAUCGCCCAGACGCUUUACCUGUGGAGUAAGCAGCUGAAGAUACGGAAGUACGAGGCGCAGCUGUCCCAUAUCGGGCAGACGAAUUUGUCACUGAGCGAGCACACGCCCGCCGCCUCUGGCCCAUCUCUGCUGAUGAACCAGCAGCAACAGCAAUCCAUGAUCAUUGCGCAGCUCACCGCACAGAAUGAUGCACUGCGGGAAGAGGUUCGCGAUCUCAAAACCCGGGCCGAGCUCGCGGGCGAGGCUGGCGGCCGUGAUGGUGGGGGCAAGGUGUUGCCCAGCACUGGCGCCCUUGCCGAGCUUGUCUCUUUGCGGCAGUCCCUAGAUUCCACUCAGCAGCUCUUGAAGGAGCGCGAGGCAGCUCUGGAGGCAACGCAGGCAUCCCUCAACGAGCUAGACGGUCUUUGUCAGGAGCUGGAGGGGGAGAACAAGGCCCAGGCGGACAAGAUCAAGGCGCUUGCUCGGUGUAAGAGCGAAGCCGAGGAGCUCAUGUGCGCUGUCGAGGAAGAGCACGGGGCGCUGCAGCAGGAGGUGAAGCUGCUACGCUCGCAGCUUCAGCAAAGUCAGACGCGGCUGCUGGAGAAGCACCGCGGUGACGACUACCUAUCCGAGCUUACGGCGUUGCACGUCGCGCAUCAAAACCUGCAGCACUCCUAUAGCCAGCUAAAGGAGAAGGCGGACCGCGAGAAGGCGGAGCUGACGCAGCGCUUGACCCGUCUAACCGAGAGCAACAAUACUCUCGAAGAUGAGCUGGACGAGGCCAAGGACCGCGGCAGCCUCAUCAACUCGCACCUCUGGCGUCUGCUGAGCGCUGCAGCGCAGGCGACACAGGGAAAGCCACUGCAGAUCAAAGAUCCAGCGGCUACCGUGCGCGAUACCCAGGUGAUGGAGGCUGUGCGGUCUCUCGCAAACGUUGCUGUGAUGGCGAACCGCAGAGGCAGCGACGGCGCCGGUUCUGGCGAGAGCGUGAACGAGCUUCGCAGUCGCAUCCGCUUUCUCGAGGAGCAGCUUGUCGCGAAGGAUGCGCAGAGGGACGUGAUCGUUGACGCGAAGUUGAAGCGCAUUCAGGGGCUGGUGCUGCGCCUUCACAGGGUCAACAUCGCUCUCAUCGAGGAGAUGCGGCAGUGCUUCCACGACAACGAGCUGCUCUUCGAGAUCGCCACGAAGACGUCCAAGACUCAGAAGAAGGUGGAGAAGGCGGGGCUGACGAUGCGGUCGCUGGAAGCUGCGCUAAGCCGGGCCCGCUUGGCACAGCCGCCGCACAAGCCUCUUUACCACAACUGACCAAGUGACCGUUUUAACUGACGGCGGAAAGAGGGGAGGUGGACGAUGAUUGCAGCGACAGCGCGAGGCGGGCGUAGUCGCGCCCACACCGAAAAGCCCCCAAGAUAUCUGAGAAGGAUCACAUCGCACACUGCGGCGCUCUUAUUAUUUCCGUCGUGUCGUUGCUUGAACUCCGCUCUCGCUGCCGGUCGGGGUGUCCCCGCUUGUUCUGAGGCUGAGCGCAGUGGACGGGCGUCGGAGAGGAAGGGUGGUUGCGGCAGAUAGGAGCAGGUGCCUCACCAUGCUUUCGCUCGCCGACCGCGCGUAAGAGCUGUGUGGAUGCGUACGUGGUGCUCUGACGAGACAUGCACACAGGC
rnacentral:misc_RNA from 1 species